rnacentral:rRNA from 1 species
ACGAAGGGGGCUAGCGUUGUUCGGAAUUACUGGGCGUAAAGCGCACGUAGGCGGGCGAUUAAGUCAGGGGUGAAAUCCCGGAGCUCAACUCCGGAACUGCCUUUGAUACUGGUCGUCUAGAGAUCGGAAGAGGUGAGUGGAAUUCCCAGUGUAGAGGUGAAAUUCGUAGAUAUUGGGAAGAACACCGGUGGCGAAGGCGGCUCACUGGUCCGAUACUGACGCUGAGGUGCGAAAGCGUGGGGAGCAAACAGGA